rnacentral:tRNA from 1 species
GGCCGUGUAGCUCAACGGAUAGAGCAUCAGCCUUCUAAGCUGGUGGUUGUGGGUUCGAUUCCCGCCACGGUCA